GGAGGCACUGGCUUUUUGGCUAAGAUCAUGGAUAGUAUCUGUUUUAUCAGUUUAAUAUCUGAUACAUCCUCUAUCCAAGGACAAUAUAUUAAAUAGAUUUUUGGAGCAGGGAGAUGGAAUAAGAGCUUGCUUCAUCCACUCCACACAUCAACCUGGUAUAUCACAGUACUUCCAGGAAUGGUGCACCACCA
ensembl:snRNA U2 U2 spliceosomal RNA